rnacentral:rRNA from 1 species
CCUACGGGUGGCACCAGUGGGGAAUUUUGGACAAUGGGCGCAAGCCUGAUCCAGCCAUGCCGCGUGCAGGAAGAAGGCCUUCGGGUUGUAAACUGCUUUUGUACGGAACGAAAAAGCCCUGGUUAAUACCUGGGGCUGAUGACGGUACCGUAAGAAUAAGCACCGGCUAACUACGUGCCAGCAGCCGCGGUAAUACGUAGGGUGCGAGCGUUAAUCGGAAUUACUGGGCGUAAAGCGUGCGCAGGCGGUUUUGUAAGACAGAGGUGAAAUCCCCGGGCUCAACCUGGGAACUGCCUUUGUGACUGCAAGGCUGGAGUGCGGCAGAGGGGGAUGGAAUUCCGCGUGUAGCAGUGAAAUGCGUAGAUAUGCGGAGGAACACCGAUGGCGAAGGCAAUCCCCUGGGCCUGCACUGACGCUCAUGCACGAAAGCGUGGGGAGCAAACAGGAUUAGAUACCCUUGUAGUC